rnacentral:rRNA from 1 species
CCGGAGGCGGAGCGAAAGCGAGUCUGAAUAGGGCGCUUUAGUUAGUAGUAGUAGACGCGAAACCGAGUGAUCUACCCAUGGGCAGGUUGAAGCUGUGGUAACACAUAGUGGAGGACCGAACCAGUUGACGUUGAAAAGUCUUUGGAUGACCUGUGGGUAGGGGUGAAAGGCCAAUCAAACUCGGAGAUAGCUGGUUCUC